rnacentral:rRNA from 1 species
UACGUAGGCAGCAAGCGUUGUUCGGAGUUACUGGGCGUAAAGGGUGCGUAGGUGGCUCUAUAAGUAUGGUGUGAAAUCUCCCGGCUUAACUGGGAGGGUGCGCCGUAGACUGUGGGGCUAGAGUGUGGGAGAGGAAAGUGGAAUUCCUGGUGUAGCGGUGAAAUGCGUAGAUAUCAGGAGGAACACCGGUGGUGUAAACGGCUUUCUGGACCAUAACUGACACUGAGGCACGAAAGCGUGGGUAGCAAACAGG